rnacentral:lncRNA from 1 species
GUGUGGAAUCAGCUGCCCGGUUCUGUCUGUCGAGUGAAUCUGACUAACACAGCAAGGCCCUGAUCGCCCACAUCGGUGCUCCCAGCAAACCUUCUGUCAUGUCUCUGAUGAUGUUUUCCUGCGGAGGUGAGACCGAGUCGGGCUGGAGGCCAGGCCUGGCCACUGACGUGGAGUGAUUUAUGGCAGAGAAGGUCCAGCCAGCCCAGAGUAUCCAGGUCCAGACGUGAAUUCCACACAGCGUGCCUCGGUAGCUCUGGGUUAAGUCCGCAGACGUCUGCAACGAAUAUGAUUGCAAGUGUGAAGGUGACAUGAUUUACUUAAAUCAGGCAAUUUCUCCAUUACAGCGCAGAAGCCUCAACUCGUAAAGACACUCUUCAGCAGAUGAACUAUAACGUCGCCCGGCAUCCGUCAUAUUAGGUGAUUUGAAAGGAAAGAACAAUUAUAAAAAUGAAUGUAAUUCCCUGUUGAAGAUUAAAAAAAUCCAGUUUUUGCAGCAGGGGGUGGUUAAUUUUCCCCAGAUAAAAACAGGUUUCACAGCAAUUCUGCUGCUAUAACACUCCACGUGCAAAACGUAAGAAGAAAAGGUUCCAGCCAAGGCAGACAGGAGCAGGAAUUAGCAGUUUGGGGGGCGGGAAGCGGGCUUCCCCUCCAGCAUCGGAGGUUAUUUUCUUCCCCACAGGAACAGCUCUGUUGCCAUAAACCUGCUGGUGUGCCCCCACCCCCCCACUUACCCGGGGUCUGAGCUGCUUUCAAUUAGCAGGGAUUAUUAACCUGGAAACAUUUUAAACCGCUGCCGAAGCUGCUUUCCUGCGUUAUGAGCUGAGCUAGAGCUGUCACAAUAAAAGCUGAUUGAUUAGCAAAGAAUGUACUCACAGCAACUGAUGCCCAGGGCCGUUCUCCACGCAUUUCACAGCCUCCCCUGCCCCCGAAUUUUGCGUUUUCAUUCUGAGAUUAACCUUGGUUUCUCUCUGGCACCUUCUACAGCCUGCAGGCUCUCAACUUCCCACUCCUCUGCCUGCCCUGGACCUGCUCUGUCUUCAAGCCCAGUCUCCCGCCUGGCCCCGGAGGAGCUACCCUCGUCAUCCACACUUGUCUUCCUUAGUCGGAAACAGAAGCUCUGCUGCCCUUCCCUCCCUGCACGGCAGACGUGCGACGUGGCCCUGGAGGAGGCCCCGUGUCCAGGGGCUCCCAACGGCUGAACCCGGCUGGAGGCCCAGGACGCCGUGGAGGGGCAGUCUCUGUGCGGAGAGAGGAUCUGGAGAGGCACAAACCCCCAAGCCCACGGCAGACUUGCGAGGAAGGGACCGAUGGCUCCUCGGGGGUGGAUGCGGUGAGAACCAGGUGGUGCAGCACAUCCCUCUGGGUCCUGUGCAGCCAGUGAUUUCAUCAGCCUGUGCAUUAAGCGGCAACACCGCACGAGGGGACAGAAGCUCUCGGGGCUCCUGGGGGCCUGUACCCCGGAUGGGCUCUUCAGAAGGAGUUCAGGGCCACUGUAGGACCCAGCACUGUCUUGAGCUCCCUGAUUCCAAGUGGAAAUGGUCCAGCAGAGGAGCCUCAGCUUUUCCAUCAUUGACAAAGGGAUUGGAGGAGAAGGUGACAAGAAGAAGAACGCACUGGAAGCUGAGAAUCAGGCUCUUGAAAGCCCCGAGGCCACCCCAGCCUCAGGCGGGUGAUGUCAACUGGAUCAUUCCUUCAUUCACUAUUCAAUGAAUGUUUAUUGAGGACCUACUAUGAGCCAAGCAUGUUCUACUUCUAGGUCUGAGAUAGACCUCGAACUUUCAGACCACCAGAUAAUACAUAAGUAGGAAAUGUAAUAAAUAAAUUAAAAAAUUCCA